rnacentral:rRNA from 1 species
AUUGAACGCUGGCGGCAUGCUUUACACAUGCAAGUCGAACGGUAACAGGCCGCAAGGUGCUGACGAGUGGCGAACGGGUGAGUAAUGCAUCGGAACGUGCCCAGUCGUGGGGGAUAACUACUCGAAAGAGUAGCUAAUACCGCAUACGAUCUAUGGAUGAAAGCGGGGGACCGUAAGGCCUCGCGCGAUUGGAGCGGCCGAUGUCAGAUUAGGUAGUUGGUGGGGUAAAGGCUCACCAAGCCAACGAUCUGUAGCUGGUCUGAGAGGACGACCAGCCACACUGGGACUGAGACACGGCCCAGACUCCUACGGGAGGCAGCAGUGGGAAUUUUGGACAAAGGGCGCAAGCCUGAUCCAGCAAUGCCGCGUGCAGGAAGAAGGCCUUCGGGUUGUAAACUGCUUUUGUACGGAACGAAACGGCUCUGGUUAAUACCCGGGGCUAAUGACGGUACCGUAAGAAUAAGCACCGGCUAACUACGUG